rnacentral:rRNA from 1 species
AGCGAACGUUAGCGGCAGGCCUAACACAUGCAAGUCGCACGAGAAUUCGGCUUCGGCCGAUAGUAAAGUGGCGGACGGGUGAGUAACACGUGGAUAAUCUGCCCUUCGGCGGGGGACAACAGUCCGAAAGGAUUGCUAACACCGCAUACGUCAACGAGGUCUUCGGACCUUGUUGGGAAAGGUGGCCUCUUCAUGAAAGCUACCACCGAAGGAUGAGUCCGCGUCCCAUCAGCUAGUUGGCGGUGUAAUGGACCACCAAGGCUAAGACGGGUAGCUGGUCUGGGAGGAUGAUCAGCCACACUGGGACUGAGACACGGCCCAGACUCCUACGGGAGGCAGCAGUGGGGAAUAUUGGGCAAGGGGCGCAAGCCUGACCCAGCCAUGCCGCGAGUGAUGAAGGCCUUCGGGUCGUAAAGCUCUGUGGGGAGGGAAGAAACAGCUUGUGGCUAACAUCCACGAGCCCUGACGGUACCUCCUUAGCAAGCACCGGCUAACUCCGUGCCAGCCGCCGCCGUAA